UUCCACAAAAAAACGUAGUGUUGGAACAACGAACAGAUGUCAUGCAGCAUCCAUAUACGCAUAUGGCUGGCAGUUACUUAGAAGAGGUAGAACCUACAAGAACAAGGUGUUUUUUCAUAUUGGAGAUUCAAAAAUUUGGUCUGAUGCACAGGACUACUGUGGCAGCUUUGGUAUGAGACUCGCAACUGUUAGUAACUUUAACG